AUAAAUGGACGUGUUUUAGGUAAUAAAUGGACGUGUUUUAGGUAAUAAAUGGACGUGUUUUAGGUAAUAAAUGGACGUGUUUUAGGUAAUAAAUGGACGUGUUUUAGGUAAUAAAUGGACGUGUUUUAGGUAAUAAAUGGCCGUGUUUUAGGUAAUAAAUGGACGUGUUUUAGGUAAUAAAUGGACGUGUUUUAGGUAAUAAAUGGAC